rnacentral:rRNA from 1 species
GAUGAACGCUGGCGGCGUGCCUAAUACAUGCAAGUCGAGCGAACGGACGAGAAGCUUGCUUCUCUGAUGUUAGCGGCGGACGGGUGAGUAACACGUGGAUAACCUACCUAUAAGACUGGGAUAACUUCGGGAAACCGUAGCUAAUACCGGAUAAUAUUUUGAACCGCAUGGUGCAAAAGUGAAAGACGGUCUUGCUGUCACUUAUAGAUGGAUCCGCGCUGCAUUAGCUAGUUGGUAAGGUAACGGCUUACCAAGGCAACGAUGCAUAGCCGACCUGAGAGGGUGAUCGGCCACACUGGAACUGAGACACGGUCCAGACUCCUACGGGAGGCAGCAGUAGGGAAUCUUCCGCAAUGGGCGAAAGCCUGACGGAGCAACGCCGCGUGAGUGAUGAAGGUCUUCGGAUCGUAAAACUCUGUUAUUAGGGAAGAACAUAUGUGUAAGUAACUGUGCACAUCUUGACGGUACCUAAUCAGAAAGCCACGGCUAACUACGUG